rnacentral:rRNA from 1 species
UUCGGAUCGGAGUCUGCAACCCGACUCCGUGAAGCUGGAUUCGCUAGUAAUCGCGCAUCAGCCAUGGCGCGGUGAAUACGGUUCCCGGGCCUUGUACACACCGCCCGUCAAGCCAUGGGAGCCGGGGGUACCUGAAGUCCGUAACCGAAAGGAGCGGCCUAAGGUAAAACUGGUGACUGGGGCUAAGUCGUAACAAGGUAUC